GCUGGAGAAUCAAGUCCUUCCUUACAGGAGGACAUUGUUAUUAGGGGAAAGAUUCAAAUUAGAAAGACCGUACUGCACUCAAUAUGCCAGCAAAUUUGGAAAACUCAGCAGUGGCCACAGGACUGGAAAAGUUCACUUCAGUCGCUCAGUCGUCUCCAAUUCUGCGACCCCAUGGACUGCAGCACACCAGGCUCCCCCGUCUGUCACCAACUCCCGGUGCCUACUCAAACUCAAGUCCAUCCCGUCAGUGAUGCCAUCCAACCAUAACCCUCCCUGUUACAUUUUGCAAUUGUCACUUCUUUCUGUUUCUUUG
ensembl:lncRNA